rnacentral:rRNA from 1 species
UACGGAGGGGGCCAGCGUUAUUCGGAAUUAUUGGGCGUAAAGGGCGCGUAGGCGGCUUUGCGUGUCUUUCGUGAAAUCCCUCGGCUCAACUGAGGACGUGCGGAAGAAACUGCAGGGCUGGAGUCCGGGAGAGGAGGGUGGAAUUCCCAGUGUAGCGGUGAAAUGCGUAGAUAUUGGGAGGAACACCGGUGGCGAAGGCGGCCCUCUGGACCGGUACUGACGCUGAUGCGCGAAAGCGUGGGGAGCAAACGGG